AUGUAAAAGUGGGGCCGUAACAUUCACCCUUGAAGCGUGCGUUCGAGUUGUUUGAAUUCAAAUUCUUUUGAGUACUUGUCAUGUGAAACCGUAAAUACACCAUUGUUGAACUUUAAAAUACUCUCGGGACCGUUUCGUAACAAAUAUAAACUAUUGGGGGUUGUUUGGUAAUAUAAUUAACCAAAAUUGGACAGAUUUAGUUAAAGCAAUUCAAGGGAGUGACUGGAAUGGUUUAAUCUUUGAGUCUUGGAUUGGUAUUGUUAAGAAAUCUCCAUGGGAGGGGAUGUUUUAAAUAAAACACACCAAAGUUUGUGGAAUGUACUCAUUUAAGUGAGGGUGUAUUUUGCUCAUUUUAUAAAUACAAAACGAUUUUAGGGCUUUUAUAAAAGGAAAUGUCAUGGAGGGACUGUUUUUGUUUAGAAGACUAAACUAAGGAAAAUUAGGGCUUUUAAACCUUUUUUUUUGAUCGGGUAAGGAGAAGAACGCUACGAACGAAAGCAAGCGAUGAGGAUGGUGAUGGCGAUGGCGACUGAAAGGUUCACGAGGGGCUCACAGAUGACACAACGAUUCGUCGAUCGAUUGCAAAGUGGUGGCUGUCUCGGGGGUUCGACUUGAGCGAAGCCACGCAGGUGCGAAGAAGCAGCGGGGCUGCGUUCUUGCUUCUCCGUCGAUAGGGUGCGAAGGAAAAAAGGGCAUCUUCGGGGUUGACGAAGCCGAAGGAAAAGAAAGAGGGGAAGCAGCGAGGAUUUAGGUCCGACGAUUUCUCCCUGGCUCGUGCGUCUUGUAGCCGACAGAAGUCAAGGAGGUUACAUCUCCGGAGCUUGGUUCAUCGGAGAGGCGAGAUGUCCGAAAGAAGGUAGAAAAGGGCGAAAGCAUCGUGCUUAGUCAGCGAGGAAAAAGAGAGCAACCGACGCCGACAGGUCUUCAUCUCUGAUUUGGGUCGAUCUCUUCGCUUGAUCAGAAAGGAAAGACGAAGGCAUCAACUAUCAAUAACAGAAAUUUUGAAGAAGAGAAAGAAAAUUUUUUCCUUUUGUGUUCAUGUAUCUUGGUGAAUACGAAGAAGUAGGCAGGAACCAGAAAUAUAUAGGUGUUUGCGUGUUAGAAUUUUUAACAUUGUACAUGUUUUGUUUGAGUGAUUAGUAGGUGGAGUGCUGUAAGGGAAAGAAAACAUAAACGUGUGUUCUUGUUGCUUGACAGGAAGAAGAUGAAAGGACAAUUGUUUUUGAGUUUGGCUGCAGCUUCAAAUUUGAAAGGGAAACGCAUUUUCUUUUCCUUUUGAGUGUCUAAUUGUUUCAAAGUAUUACUUAUAAGUAAUUUUGCUUUAUUUAUUUAUUUAUUUAUUAGUAAUUUGGCUUUAUUUAUUUAUUUGUAUUUGGUAGAUUAAAUAGAUGUAUUUGUGUACCAAUGUUUCUUUUAUUAUAUUUCCCAUGAAUUCAUUUCUA